rnacentral:rRNA from 1 species
AACGAACGCUGGCGGCAUGCCUAACACAUGCAAGUCGAACGAGACCUUCGAGUCUAGUGGCGCACGGGUGCGUAACGCGUGGGAACCUGCCCUUAGGUUCGGAUUAACUCCCCGAAAGGGGUGCUAAUACCGGAUAAUGUCUUCGGACCAAAGAUUUAUCGCCUUUGGAUGGGCCCGCGUUGGAUUAGCUAGUUGGUAGGGUAAAAGCCUACCAAGGCGACGAUCCAUAGCUGGUCUGAGAGGAUGAUCAGCCACACUGGGACUGAGACACGGCCCAGACUCCUACGGGAGGCAGCAGUGGGGAAUAUUGGACAAUGGGCGAAAGCCUGAUCCAGCAAUGCCGCGUGAGUGAUGAAGGCCUUAGGGUUGUAAAGCUCUUUUACCCGGGAUGAUAAUGACAGUACCGGGAGAAUAAGCUCCGGCUAACUCCGUG